UUCAUAUCAGCUAAUGCUUAUGCAGUUAAAGUUCCAGUGAAACUGCCUGUAAGCACAGAAAAUAGCUUAGAAGUAGCGUAGAAUGAAUAGCUUAGAAAGGAAUAUACACAAGUAGUGUCAACGAAGAUUUGUUUUUGUGCUUUCAAAGCGAAACCGAAAUCGCAGUAACUAUCAUCGACAGGUGUCACGGCUAUCGCUACUGAGUCUCAUGGCGGGCUGCGCGGGGUGCAUGUGUGUGUGUUUUCCGUGACGGUCCUGAAGUUGUGAGUAAUUAGAUUGUUUCUGGCGGCGUUUAGUUGCAGCAUCUAGUUGUUUUAGUGUACUUUUGUGGUCAUUGACGCAAAGUGAGCGUUCGAACUGAAGACGAUGCGAAAUGCGUGAGAAAGAAAGGCCGUAGUGGCCUACAACAUCGGUGUUUCUUUGUGACCGUGUCUGCUAUGCCUACGACAGCCGUGAUUCGUGGCAAAGGAGAAAACCGCUUGCAGUUGGCCUGAACAGUGAAGUGCACGUUUUUUUCGGCGGAAUCCAUCCUCGACAUCGUUCUCCACUACGUUGAAGAAAUGGCGUGCACUGAGUGCACAUCGUGACAGCGCUUCGCCUUCACACCGAGGGACAUUCGCAAUGCGCAUGGACUGCUCAUAUAAAAGUUACAAUCAGCGUGAAGCAAUUGCAUGGGAACUGACAGUCCUCCUUGGAUCUACGCAUUGCUGAAAAGACAGUGAAGACAUCUGAGCUGACAGGUAGAAAAGAAGCAGAUGGCUCGAGUGAUAAAUGAAGAAAGGGCUUCAUCUAUGAUGGCUCGUCCUUCCACAUUGGAAUCAAGCUACACAAAGGCAUCACUAGCCUCACCUGUGCCCUGAAACAUGGUUUUGGAUGCGAGUGU
rnacentral:lncRNA from 1 species